UACGUAGGGGGCAAGCGUUGUCCGGAAUUAUUGGGCGUAAAGAGCGUGUAGGCGGCCAGAUAAGUCCGCUGUGAAAUCUCGAGGCUCAACUUCGAGCUGUCGGUGGAAACUAUCUGGCUAGAGUCCGGAAGAGGAGAAUGGAAUUCCCUGGGUGUAGCGGUGAAAUGCGCAGAUAUCAGGAAGAACACCCGUGGCGAAGGCGGUUCUCUGGGACGGUACUGACGCUGGAGACGCGAAAGCGUGGGGAGCGAACAGG
rnacentral:rRNA from 1 species